GACGAACGCUGGCGGCGUGCUUAAUGCAUGCAAGUCGCACGAGGCCCCAUCGACGAGCAAUCGUCGCGGGGUCCUAGUGGCGAACGGGUGAGUAACACGUGAGGAACCUGCCCCGGAGUCCGGAAUAGCCCAGGGAAACCUGGAUUAAUGCCGGAUACCCUCCAUCGGUCGCAUGUCUGGUGGAGGAAAGGUCCGCCGCUCUGGGAUGGCCUCGCGGCCUAUCAGCUUGUUGGCGAGGUAACGGCUCACCAAGGCUACGACGGGUAGCUGGUCUGAGAGGACGAUCAGCCACACUGGGACUGAGACACGGCCCAGACUCCUACGGGUGGCUG
rnacentral:rRNA from 1 species